rnacentral:rRNA from 1 species
AAGAGUUCGUAGGUGGUUGAAAAAGUUGGUGGUGAAAUCCCAGAGCUUAACUCUGGAACUGCCAUCAAAACUUUUCAGCUAGAGUUUGAUAGAGGAAAGCAGAAUUUCUAGUGUAGAGGUGAAAUUCGUAGAUAUUAGAAAGAAUACCAAUUGCGAAGGCAGCUUUCUGGAUCAUUACUGACACUGAGGAACGAAAGCAUGGGUAGCGAAGAGGAUUAGAUACCCUCGUAGUCCAUGCCGUAAACGAUGUGUGUUAGACGUUGGAAAUUUAUUUUCAGUGUCGCAGCGAAAGCGAUAAACACACCGCCUGGGGAGUACGACCGCAAGGUUAAAACUCAAAUGAAUUGACGGGGACCCGCACAAGUAGUGGAGCAUGUGGUUUAAUUCGAAGAUACGCGCAGAACCUUACCAACACUUGACAUGUUCGUCGCGACUUUAAGAGAUUAAAGUUUUCGGUUCGGCCGGACGAAACACAGGUGCUGCAUGGCUGUCGUCAGCUCGUGUCGUGAGAUGUUGGGUUAAGUCCCGCAACGAGCGCAACCCUCACUUUUAGUUGCCAUCAUUAAGUUGGGCACUCUGAAAGAACUGCCAGUGAUAAGCUGGAGGAAGGUGGGGAUGACGUCAAGUCCUCAUGGCCCUUACGUGUUGGGCUACACACGUGCUACAAUGGUAUCUACAACAGGAAGCAAAACAGCGAUGUUAAGCAAAUCCUUAAAAGAUACCUCAGUUCGGAUU